GACGAACGCUGGCGGCGUGCUUAACACAUGCAAGUCGAACGGAAAGGCCCUGCUUUUGUGGGGUGCUCGAGUGGCGAACGGGUGAGUAACACGUGAGUAACCUGCCCUUGACUUUGGGAUAACUUCAGGAAACUGGGGCUAAUACCGGAUAGGAGCUCCUGCUGCAUGGUGGGGGUUGGAAAGUUUCGGCGGUUGGGGAUGGACUCGCGGCUUAUCAGCUUGUUGGUGGGGUAGUGGCUUACCAAGGCUUUGACGGGUAGCCGGCCUGAGAGGGUGACCGGCCACAUUGGGACUGAGGUACGGCCCAGACUGCUACGGGAGGCAGCGGUGGGAAAUAUUGCACAAUGGGCGGGAGCCUGAUGCGGCAGCGCCGCGUGCGGGAUGACGGCCUUCGGGUUGUGAACCGCUUUCGCCUGAUACGAAGCGUGAGUGACGGUAAUGGAUAAAGAAGCACCGGCUAACUACGUG
rnacentral:rRNA from 1 species